UCACACCCCCAACCCCACGUUGAGCCCCCACCUCCUUCAGGGAGGUAUGAUUAUGAGGCUCUUUUACAGGUGGAGAAACCAAAGCUCUAAAGGGGAACUGGCUUGUCCAAGGUCCCAGAGCUAGAAAGGGGCUAAUCAGAAUUUGAGCACCUGUUUGUCUGAAUCUCCUUGACCACCAUCCCCAUGACUUCCAUAACUCCUGCCAUAGCAAGAGAGAGAGGCGCAGGCAGCAGGCUCUGGGAGCUUGGAGGAGACAGCUCGCCUUGGCCUGGAGAGGUGGAAAGAAGCCCCAAGGAGAUGUGUGGUUCAGGCAGGGAGACGUCAAAGCCACCAGGACGAGUCAAAGUAAUAUGCCUGCGACCAGCACGCGGACUUUUAUUUCUUCCCCCUCCACGCUCCAGAGCUGCUCCUGCGGCGUGGAGAGAUAAAUAUUUUAAAUAGCGACACUUUGGCGAUGCACAGUUAUGCAAGACAAGGAAUAAUUAGAAAAUAAAUUACUUUUUUUAAACA